CGUGUCCAAAUGGCGCUCAGAUCCCACGAAUACAGCUGAAUUGCCACCGGGUAAAGUUUUGACCAACCGCACACAUGGAGUCUACAAUAAAGUUCCAUGAGAAAAGUAGCAGUCGGUCACUUUUGGGAGUCCCAAACCAAAGAAAAUGCUGAACUGUUCCCCUGGAUCAUAGGUAGCGAUUGCUCCUCAUGUUCGUAUUUACCUUUUCACCGAAUAGCGCUCUCCUGGCUUGUCAAGAAUAGAAGCAGGCGUUCGUAUAAAAUAACCGGU